CGGUGAGGUAGAGGUUGCGCGUAUUAGGAGUAACAUAUGGGAAGCAAGUGGAGCUUAUGAACAUAUGUGAAAGGAAUGAGCGCCGAAGCUUAUAAAAAACCACUUUUUUUAUAAGCUGGGCCUGUAUUAAAUAAGUACAGGACUGCCACAAGUUUUUGUGGAGGGCUAUCAGAGAG
rnacentral:ncRNA from 2 species